CAAAAACAAAGGCACUGGCAGAAAAUAAGGGGAAGGACUUGCAAAGUUGAUAUACAGACCAGACAAUGGGGAAAUUCUUGGAGUUCAUAUCUUUGGUAUGCAUGCUGCUGACCUCAUUCAUGAAGCGUCCAACGCCAUAGCAUUGGGAACGUCCAUUCAGGAUAUAAAGUUUGCAGUGCACGCACAUCCAACAUUGUCUGAAGUCCUUGAUGAACUGUUCAAAUC